rnacentral:rRNA from 1 species
CAGGGAUUGCCUCAGUAACGGCGAGUGAAGCGGCAACAGCUCAAAUUUGAAAUCUGACCCCCUCGGGGCCCGAGUUGUAAUUUGUAGAGGGUGUUUCGGGCGCGGCGCCGGUCUAAGUUCCUUGGAACAGGACGUCAUAGAGGGUGAGAAUCCCGUAUGUGACCGGCGAUCAAGCCCAUGUGAAGCCCCUUCGACGAGUCGAGUUGUUUGGGAAUGCAGCUCAAAAUGGGUGGUAAAUUUCAUCUAAAGCUAAAUAUUGGCCAGAGACCGAUAGCGGACAAGUAGAGUGAUCGAAAGAUCAAAAGCACUUUGGAAAGAGAGUCAAACAGUACGUGAAAUUGUUGAAAGGGAAGCGCUUGCAAUCAGACCGGUCCGGGGGCGAUCAACCGCUGCUCGUCAGCGGUGCACUCGCCCUCGAUCCGGCCAGCAUCGGUUUGGGCGGCGGGAAAAAAGUCCCGGGAAUGUAGCUUCUUUCGGGGAGUCUUAUAGCCCGGGUCGGCAUGCCGCCCGCCUGGACCGAGGACCGCGCUUCGGCUAGGAUGCUGGCGUAAUGGUUGCAAGCGACCCGUCUUGAAACACGGACCAAGGAGUCUAACAUCUAUGCGAGUGUUUGGGUGUCAAACCCGGGCGCGGAAUGAAAGUGAACGGAGGUGGGAACCCGUCAGACGGCGCACCAUCGACCGAUCCAGAUGUCUUCGGAUGGAUUUGAGUACGAGCAUAGCUGUUGGGACCCGAAAGAUGGUGAACUAUGCCCGGAUAGGGUGAAGCCAGAGGAAACUCUGGUGGAGGCUCGCAGCGGUUCUGACGUGCAAAUCGAUCGUCAAAUCUAGGCAUAGGGGCGAAAGACCAAUCGAACCAUCUAG